CCACAAAUACAUUUCUCUUUUUUCUCUCAUCCCCUCGUUACAGUUACAGUCCCAGGGAGUUUAAGGAACCUUCCAGAACCUCCAACCCAAAUCCUCAAGAGCCACCAGACCCAGUGGAACAGCAGCCAGUGUAUGACAAUGUGAAUCCUGGAGAUAGCGACCUGGUUUAUUGCCAGAUCUGGAGCACCCAACAUACAAAAGAAAAUUCAGCAAAUUCACCAAAGAAACAUUGGGAAGAUAAGGUGAGUCACAUUUCCUGGCUUUCUUUCCCCUCUGCUCUUUCUUACUUAUAUUUUGGUAUUAACUGUUUGUGCUUUUCCCCUCCCCACUAGGAACCCACAGUCAUCUAUUCAGAUUUGAAGAAGGCACAUCCAGAUGACUCCACAGGGCAAGCCAACAUUGAAGAUAGUGACCUUGAAGAUGCUGCAGAAAACUAUGAGAAUGUUCCAGGCAUAUUAUCAGCCUUAGACCGCUAGCUCUGUACCCACAGUGGCUCACAGAGACCCUGUGAAGCAGCCUGUCACUGUCUCGGUUAUCUCUGGCCAUACUUUUCUUUCCCUCCAGUGCUCAGCAUCCCAAAAGACUGGACUGGGGGAUGUGAGACUGUGUGAAAGUUCUGUCAACUUCUUCUGUGCCCAAGUCUGUGUGUUCUCUAGGAACAUAGUGAGGAACAUUUGAGUAAAUUCUGCAAUCUUUUCACAGUGGGGAUACUUGUGAAGGCAAGGCAGGUAGGCCUUCAGCUCCUGGGCCUGUUAAAGAGAAGGGAAAAGCAGUCUAGCCAGGAUCACAAGGAUGCAAUCAUUGAAAGUUGAACUGAGAGGGAUCAAAAGCUUCUAGGGUACUGUCUGUACAUAAACAAUUUGUUUGUUCUAAACAUCUUGUUUCCCUUUCCAUUUUUGUUGAUAGUGUCACUGAUGAUGUUCUGGUGCACAUGCGUUGUUCCA
rnacentral:lncRNA from 1 species